CCUUGUUGCCAGGAAAAGCUAAAAAAAACUCAAGAGCAACUAAAAAAUAUUAAGGACCACCAUGGCUGGAGCGGGUCAAACUGAAAGCUGCGGCAGUGGUUUGAAAUCAUGGACGCCAUUUAAUCAUCACAAGACCAGCGGGUGGUCUGGACUCUGCAAUCUGACAGUUUUAAUAUGACAUGAUGUGAACAGUCACUGAUUAUUUUACUUUGCACAGCAGAUGACGCUGAGGGCCGGGGGUCAAGCCACAUCUCCAGGGGUCAAUGGAAACAUCGGCUUUGUGCCGAGUAGAGUGAGGCAGAGCGGUGUGGAGCUGUGUGGUGCUGGAGCCAUGAGUGGAAAUAAGGAGUCCUGGAAUCUGGAGGGUGACAGGUGCAGACCAGGUCAUCAGCCAUGGUGCUAUAAGAAGGAGGACUGCCAGCACUUCAGCGGCUGACUGUUUUGCCCCCUGUGGUAUUGCUCUACGCAUGGUUACCUUGGUUUCGAAGAAUCUUUGGAAAGUCCCUCGAAUCGUGAACCUCACCGGACAUCUUACCUUGGUUGCAGCCCGACCGGAUCAGAGUACCGUUUCAGUUACGAACCUUGUCCACCCUCCUCGAAGGAUUACCUCCCUGGCUCCUGUCGGCACCUCACUCUGGAUCAGCAUCAAGCUUCCUGUCAUCAGUGGACGAACUCUUAUGCUGCAACAACCAGAAGCUUCCUGCAGUCAAACAGGAGUCAUAUCCAAGCAUCAGAGCAACCAUCCUGCAGCUGAGCACAUGAUCUCCCACUUAUUGUGUCCAGAUGUCUCCUACAUCACAUGACCCUUUGGUGUAAAGCUGAAUGUAAAUAUGUUCCUGCAGAGUAAAUCAUGUAUUUUAUCCCCUGUGGGGUCCAGUACUCACCUUGGGUCCUGAUGUAGCAGCCGUAGGAGAACAGAGUGUGUCCAGGAGGGAACGCUGUGUCUGAUAACUGUUCUAAAUUUAACAGAAACACACACUGUUGGUCAUGCAGCGUCCUUAUCUUUUCUCUCACUGCAGGCCAUGGCCAUACAAGGCUCUGCAGGGCCCCGGGCCAUCCAGCAACUCCUGGUCCCAGCGUCACAUGGGGGAAGAUAACCGCCGGCACCUUAUAGCAGUCUGGUGACGCCAAUGUCCCACAAGGAGGCAGGAUUCCUGGGCUCAUUGUCCCCUUCACCCACCGCCCAUAUGACAGCUUUCACAGCAGUGAUUUUCCACAGUGACAAGGUGACAUUCAAAGAUCUGGAGACCAACAGAUCCUGGAGACAGAAGUUGCUCAUUUAUUUCAUGAACACAGGAUAUAAACAAAGGAAAACACAUAAAAACAGAUGGAUGAGUCAGCUGCAGUUAAUGUCAUCACAAGAGUUCACCUACAGAACUUCAUAUGAAGAC